rnacentral:rRNA from 1 species
GACGAACGCUGGCGGCGUGCUUAACACAUGCAAGUCGAACGGAAAGGCCCUGCUUGCCGGGUACUCGAGUGGCGAACGGGUGAGUAACACGUGGGUGAUCUGCCCUGCACUUCGGGAUAAGCCUGGGAAACUGGGUCUAAUACCGGAUAGGGGCCAUUUUUAGUGUGAUGGUUGGAAAGUUUUUUCGGUGUAGGAUGAGCUCGCGGCCUAUCAGCUUGUUGGUGGGGUAAUGGCCUACCAAGGCGGCGACGGGUAGCCGGCCUGAGAGGGUGGACGGCCACAUUGGGACUGAGAUACGGCCCAGACUCCUACGGGAGGCAGCAGUGGGGAAUAUUGCACAAUGGGCGCAAGCCUGAUGCAGCGACGCCGCGGGGGGGAGGACGGCCUUCGGGUUGUAAACUCCUUUCGCUAGGGACGAAGCUUUUUGUGACGGUACCUAGAUAAGAAGCACCGGCUAACUACGUG